UAUUACUAAUUAACAACAGAGGGAUUCAAUUGUGUCUAUUUUUACAGAAUGAAUAUUUCUGACUUCCUGGCAGAUUCCAGGUCAGAGCAAAGAGAUAGUUCUACACCCUGAAUUGUGAUUCCUGAGCACUAAUAUUAAUGGCUGACACAUGGAAGUUAUGGAAUGUUGAAUUUCCAGGUUGAAAAGGUAAAGGGCUGAAGAAGAAGGAAUAUGAGAGCAGACGUGAGCAGAGCAUGGGAGAAAGGGAAGGAGGAAGAGACCCAAAGUGAGCAAGUGCGGAGAAGAGAAGGGCCUUUCAGAAGCCUGGCUUCAGCACCUGUUACUUUCUUGCAUUGGAGACUGAUGGUGUGAAACUGGAAAAGACUGUGGAGAAAUUCAUUCGGAUGGUUCCACAGUGCAUGAAUCUCCAUUGAUAUGGUUAAUGUAAUGCUCAUUAUUUUCAUUAAAAUUUAUGU